UGGUGUUGAAGGCCCUGCAAAGCAGCAUCGCGGUGGCGGAGCGUCGUUUGCGACGCCCAACACACAAAACAAGCGGUGAGUGCUUUGGGGUGGGGUGACUGCGUACCUUUUGUAUAAUGGGUCAGCGACUUAUAUUCUGUAGCAAGGUUAACCGUAUAGGGGAGCCGUAGGGAAACCGAGUCUUAACCGGGCGUUAAGUUGCAGGGUAUAGACCCGAAACCCGGUGAUCUAGCCAUGGGCAGGUUGAAGGUUGGGUAACACUAACUGGAGGACCGAACCGACUAAUGUUGAAAAAUUAGCGGAUGACCUGUGGCUGGGGGUGAAAGGCCAAUCAAACCGGGAGAUAGCUGGUUCUCCCCGAAAGCUAUUUAGGUAGCGCCUCGUGAAUUCAUCUCCGGGGGUAGAGCACUGUUUCGGCUAGGGGGCCAUCCCGGCUUACCAACCCGAUGCAAACUGCGAAUACCGGAGAAUGUUAUCACGGGAGACACACGGCGGGUGCUAACGUCCGUCGUGAAGAGGGAAACAACCCAGACCGCCAGCUAAGGUCCCAAAGUCAUGGUUAAGUGGGAAACGAUGUGGGAAGGCCCAGACAGCCAGGAUGUUGGCUUAGAAGCAGCCAUCAUUUAAAGAAAGCGUAAUAGCUCACUGGUCGAGUCGGCCUGCGCGGAAGAUGUAACGGGGCUAAACCAU
rnacentral:rRNA from 1 species